rnacentral:lncRNA from 1 species
UUAGCUAGUAAAAGAUAAUUUUUAUUCGGGUAUUAUUUUUUCGGGGUGUUUUUAUUUUUGGAAGAUUGGGUUAAGUGUUGUGGACCGGUUUGGGGUGAGGCCCAAAACUUUCUCUUCUCCCUCUCUCCCGAUUCUCUCUCCUCCCACCCGAUUUUCUCCUCUCUCCACCCGGAAAUUUCACCACCGCCGUCUGCCGCCGUCCGGCCACCCACCGGCCGCCGCACCAGCCCAGAUCGGACCCCCGUCACCUCCUCUCCCUCCCCGGCCUAGUGUCCGAGCCGGUGGUGCCGCCGAAGAGGAGAAAAAGCCGCCGGAACCGCCGACUGUCCAAAGUUUCACUUCGCCGGAACUUCCUCCUCCGGCCACCAAUCCGGGCAAGCUUGGUACGGUUUUGUAGCCCUCCUCCCGUGCAACAACCCCUCCAAGCAGCUCCCUCCCUCUUGAGCUAGGUAAGGAGAAAUUUGAGGUGGAAGUUUUAUGGUGUUUAAGUUGUUUCCGUUCGAUUAGCCUAGUUAGGCUUGGAAUUGGGUGAUGUGUUAGUCAUGAAAGUUGUAGAGGAGAUUGAGAGGAAGAUUCUGUUAAAAUUUGGUAGCAUUUGCAGGUCGCCGGAGUUGGUCGCCGGCCGCCGCUGCCGGCGGAGCCGCCGGCGGCGCCGCCGCUGUUUUGGGAAAUUGUCUGGUUUUUGAUGUAGAAUAUUAAGGGGAUAUUAUUGAGGUGAAUUUUGGAAUUUUUGGAUGAGAUUUGGAUAGGUUUGUGAAUUUUCGAAGUGUAGUAUUUUUGGCGGGUAAUUAAUGUAGAAUCCGGCCGUAGGAUUUAAGUCGUAUUUUGGAGAGGUUGUAUUUACGACUGUUGAGUAUGAUAUUUAAGUUCGGAUCGUUCCGAUGUAAGAAUAUCGAAGUUAGGCAAUGAUGAGCGUAAUUAUGGCUCUUGGGUAAUUUUUGCCUAUUUUGAUUAAAUAUUGGAUUAUUUGGUUGGGAAUUAAUAUUAUAUUUGGAACAGGACGUGAGGAGGCUCGAGCAGACGAGACCCCCAGAUCGACAUCAGGCUUAGGCCUAAUUUGUGAGUGGACUUUUAUU